GACGAACGCUGGCGGCGUGCUUAACACAUGCAAGUCGGGCGGUAAGGCCCUUUCGGGGGUACACGAGCGGCGAACGGGUGAGUAACACGUGGGUGACCUGCCCUCAGCUCUGGGAUAAGCCUGGGAAACCGGGUCUAAUACCGGAUAUGACUCCAUGACGCAUGUUGUGGGGUGGAAAGCCUUGUGCGGCUGAGGAUGGGCCCGCGGCCUAUCAGCUUGUUGGUGGGGUGAUGGCCUACCAAGGCGACGACGGGUAGCCGGCCUGAGAGGGCGACCGGCCACACUGGGACUGAGACACGGCCCAGACUCCUACGGGAGGCAGCAGUGGGGAAUCUUGCGCAAUGGGCGAAAGCCUGACGCAGCGACGCCGCGUGAGGGAUGACGGCCU
rnacentral:rRNA from 1 species